GGAUGUGGCUCAGUGGUAGAGUGCUUGCCUAGUUCACAUGAGGCUCUGGGUUUGCCUGGGUUGGAUUCCCAGUAUCACA
rnacentral:tRNA from 1 species